UGGGGAAUUUUGGACAAUGGGCGCAAGCCUGAUCCAGCAAUGCCGCGUGAGUGAUGAAGGCCUUCGGGUUGUAAAGCUCUUUUGUCCGGGAAGAAAAGGACUGGGUUAAUACCAAUGGUGUACUGACGGUACCGGAACAAUAAGCACCGGCUUACUACAUGCCAGCAGCCGCGGUAAUAA
rnacentral:rRNA from 1 species